GUAAAGCGCGUGUAGGCGGUCCGGUAAGUCCGCUGUGAAAGUCGGGGGCUCAACCUCGGAUGCCGGUGGAUACUGUCGGGCUUGAGUACGGAAGAGGCGAGUGGAAUUCCUGGUGUAGCGGUGAAAUGCGCAGAUAUCAGGAGGAACACCAAUUGCGAAGGCAGCUCGCUGGGACGUUACUGACGCUGAGACGCGAAAGCGUGGGGAGCAAACAGG
rnacentral:rRNA from 1 species